rnacentral:tRNA from 1 species
GGUGACGUAGCUCAGUUGGUCAGAGCACCGGACUCAUAAUCCGGGGGUCGGGAGUUCGAGCCUCCCCGUCACCACCA